CCUACGGGAGGCAGCAGUGGGGAAUUUUGGACAAUGGGCGAAAGCCUGAUCCAGCCAUGCCGCGUGAGUGAAGAAGGCCUUCGGGUUGUAAAGCUCUUUCAGCCGGAAAGAAAUCGCGCAGGCUAAUACUCUGCGUGGAUGACGGUACCGGAAGAAGAAGCACCGGCUAACUACGUGCCAGCAGCCGCGGUAAUACGUAGGGUGCGAGCGUUAAUCGGAAUUACUGGGCGUAAAGCGUGCGCAGGCGGUUAUAUAAGACAGAUGUGAAAUCCCCGGGCUCAACCUGGGAACUGCGUUUGUGACUGUAUGACUAGAGUACGGCAGAGGGAGGUGGAAUUCCGCGUGUAGCAGUGAAAUGCGUAGAUAUGCGGAGGAACACCGAUGGCGAAGGCAGCCUCCUGGGCCAGUACUGACGCUCAUGCACGAAAGCGUGGGGAGCAAACAGGAUUAGAUACCCUGGUAGUCCACGCCCUAAACGAUGUCAACUAGUUGUUCGGUGAGGAGACUCAUUGAGUAACGCAGCUAACGCGUGAAGUUGACCGCCUGGGGAGUACGGCCGCAAGGUUAAAACUCAAAAUGAAAUUGACGG
rnacentral:rRNA from 1 species